AUACGGAGGGUGCAAGCGUUAAUCGGAAUUACUGGGCGUAAAGGGCGCGUAGGUGGCUUGAUAAGUCAGAUGUGAAAUCCCUGGGCUUAACCUGGGAAUUGCAUUUGAUACUGUCAGACUAGAGUGUGGUAGAGGUAAGCGGAAUUCCCGGUGUAGCGGUGAAAUGCGUAGAUAUCGGGAAGAACAUCAGUGGCGAAGGCGGCUUACUGGAUCAACACUGACACUGAGGCGCGAAAGCGUGGGUAGCAAACAGGAUUAGAAACCCGGGUAGUCC
rnacentral:rRNA from 1 species